CUCAAGAAAAUCGUUGCAAACAAGAGAUUGCAGGGAUGUUACACAGAGAUACACAAGGAGGUUGUUGCUAUUUCUGUUAGCUGCUUGGGUUAAGAUGAUGAGUGGUUUUUUUUUUCUUUAAUGUGGGGCGGGGGGCAAGGGGAGAGCAGUAGGAUUUGAGAAACAGAGAAUGCUCUCCAAGAUUCUCUCUGCUAACGGGGUCUCUCAAGCCUCAGGCAGCAUAGCUUCUCUCUUACGACAAGUGCAGCUGUGUCCAUAUCCUCUCCUUCCUCUCUGCUGGGGGAGAACAAAACUCAUGACAGAGACAAGAAGUCAAAUCUCCAACUCCAGUGCUUUUGCCACAUCCCUGGCAUUUCCCUAUUGAACUCAGCUCUAGUUCCUUUAAAUCAUUUAUUUUACUAUUAUUUUUAGCUGUAGUAGAUAUACAUACAUAAAAUUUACCAUCCUAACCUACACUUUUAAGUGUACAGUUCAAUGGCAUUAAGUACAUUCACAUUAUUGUGCAACCAUCACCACCAACCAUUCACAGACCGCUUUUCAUUUUGCAAAACUGAAGCCCCAUACCCGUUAAAUACUAACUCUCCUUUCCUUACACCCUCCAGCCCUGGUAACCACCAUUCCACUUUCUGUCUCUGUGACUUUGACAUGUUUUGUUGUCACAACUUGGUUGGGGUGCUACGGGCACCUGGUAGGUAGAGGCCAGGGAUGCUAUUAAACAUCCUGCAGGGCACAGCACAGCCCCCAAAGACCAAGAAUUACCUGGCCCUGUCAAUAGUGCCAAGAUUGAGAAACCCCAGUUUAAGAGAUACAAGGAAGAAGGAAGAGGAAGGAAAAGAAAUGGACGUUGACCCGGAGAAGGGAGGAUGGAGAGAAAGAAACAGGAGUGGACACAUUUACCGCAGGGAGCCAGAGCCAGAACUGCAGCCUGGGAGUCGGAAAACGAAUUGGGCUUUUCUUCCCGCCUUUCCACCCACCUGGAACGCUGGAAUACAUACUGAUGAGCUGGAAAAUCAAAAUGACCACAGAAUUCACCUUCCAACAGGGGAAAGAGCCACUUGAUCCAGCAGCUGAGAUUAAGUCAAGCUGGUCCAACAGGAAUUUAUGCAAAUGUCCAGGUUUGUCCUUGAGGAUGGAGUGUGCUCCAUUGAAAGACUUUGGGAAAGGAAAACGAACAUGGGUUCCUACUUCUGUGCUGAGCUUUGGACACACAGUUUUGCAUGCAGUCGUAACCAGGAUGCUAUUAGGUGGAGACGGUCAUCUCCCAUUUUAUGGGGAAGAAACCAGGGCUCCGAGAGAUGGUAGGGCUUGGGCAGUUUCACGGUGACAGAGCUGGGAUUCAUACCCAAAUCUCUCUGACUUGAAAGUACCUGCUCACCAGAAAAAAGACAUGAGUGGAAAAACUAGUGAAAUGGGAAUAGGACCUGAAGGCUAAUAACAGUGAUGCGCCGAUGUCAGUUUCCUGGUUUGGCUCACUGUGCAAUAGUUGUGUAAGAUGUUAUCAGUAGAGAAAGCUGGGUGAAGCAUAUACGGGAAAUCUCUGUACUAUUUUUGAAACUUUUCUUCAACUCUAAAUUUAUUUCAAAGUACAAAGUUAAAAAAAAAAGAAAAGAAAUACCUUUCCACUACGUACUCUGUGCCCUUCACUGAACUUCUUGAUCUUAUUGUCUAGAACAAUCCCCACUUCGCGAUACUGUCCCCCCAAAACACACACACAUGCACACACAUGCACGUGUGCACACACACAUGCUCGUGCAUACUCCACACAGUGUCUUGCACAGGAACAUCAGCCCCAGCUCUCUGCACCCACCAGCUGAUGCAGCCCUGGCUAUGACCUACCCCAAGGCAUCAGUGGGAAUUAUGGAAGGAGACAGUAACCGGGUGCCUGUGAUUUACACUAUAACUGUGUUCACCCCCCGCACCCUUUGGCUAUAAAAAUGCAGCGGUGUUGCAAUUUAUACAUUGCAAAAUGCCUCUCCUGCCCCCCACCCAUCCCCUGCAUCACCUCCUCCCCUGUCUCUGAGUUGGCGUGUAACCUUGAUGAUCCAGCCAAAUGAGUUAUUUGAGAUGGAAACGUUAAUUUAUUUGAGCAGAUGGGUGUCACCGCUGCUCUGUAAAAAGGUGGCGUUUUGCCGUAUUGGCCCAGAGUGCUGCAGAUGAAGUCCUGGCUGCGUCGCUGAAUCACCGAGUGUGAACGGAAUCAUAUGUUAACGGCACUAAGGGAAAUGCCUAUUUAAGCCAAGCCCUUCCAGAAAACAAAUCCUCAGCCCCCCCCACCCCGAUUUUUGUUUUAAAUCUGGAUUUUCGCAUCUCUGAUUUGCCGAGGGUCUGAAAAACCUGAAACUCAUUAUUUCUCAAAGUGUGGUCCAAUGUCCGCCCACAUCAGAGUCAAGCAAGGGUUUUAUUAAAACACAGAUCUGUGGGACCCACCCCUGACCUACAACCCCCCACGCUUGGGAGUACAGGCUUGGGGAUUCUGCAGUUUUAACAAGCUCCCUGGGUGACUGUCACACACACUGAAAGUGGGACCCCCGUGGCUGAAAUGAUGCUAUCAAACUGCCCAGGAAAAUCUUCAAAACAAAACAGAACAAAGCAAGAAACCUUGGGAUCGGAGGUGGGGUUUUUUUUGGGGAGUGGCGGGGGGAGACCUGUUUUGUUUCUUUCUACUUUCCUCUCCCUGUUCAGAUUUUGUGCAAAAGAAGUAUUACUUUUGUAGUUGGAAAUAAAUACGUAAAAGGGAUAAAAAAGAUAGCACAAAGAGAUUAUUUGUGCACUAGAAGCCAAAGACGGUUUGGAAAUGUCAGGAAUUUCCAAGACAAGGGGUGUCGCUGUCCUUGGCCCUGAACUUUCAGUCUGUACUCUCUCCUCAGACACCCUCCACCACCCCACCCCACCCCUGCUCCCCCGACUGCUGCCUUCUCUAAGUGUUACAUCCAAUUUUCUCUUGAAUACAUGUAGUGAAGAAACUCAAUGACCUCCCAGGGGACCUCACUUAUAGGGAAGAAGCACAACGAGAGGAUUUAUGGAACGUCUGUAAAAUACGUGUGUAGAAACUCACGACAUUUUGAUCGCUACCAAGGAGAAAAAUGGACAGUUUCUUACCAGUCAGUUGCAUGAGCCUUUUUUUUAAGGGUUUUUAAAAUUAAUUAAUUUCCCCCCCUUUGUUAAGAAUUCUUGGCACAGACACAGGCCCCAGAGAAGGG
rnacentral:lncRNA from 1 species